AUGUACAUUCCUACAACAUAGCAUAAUGCACUAGAUCCCAUUAAAAAUCUGCAGUUAAGUGCGCUCAGGCUAGAGUAGUACUGGUAUGGGUGAAUUCCCGAGAAGUCCUAGUCUUUUACAUA
rfam:Picea glauca, whole genome shotgun sequence.